rnacentral:rRNA from 1 species
UGGGGAAUCUUGGACAAUGGGCGCAACCCUGAUCCAGCAAUGCCGCGUGUGUGAAGAAGGCCUGCGGGUUGUAAAGCACUUUUGGCAGGGAUGAAAAGCACUGGAUUAAUAACCCAGUGUGUUGACCUAACCUGCAGAAGAAGCACCGGCUAACUCUGUGCCAGCAGCCGCGGUAAUACAGGGGGGUNCGAGCGUUAAUCGGAAUUACUGGGCGUAAAGGGCGCGUAGGCGGUCGAGUAAGUCGGAUGUGAAAUCCCCGGGCUUAACCUGGGAAUUGCAUUCGAUACUGCUUGGCUAGAGUGUGGAAGAGGGAAGCGGAAUUUCCGGUGUAGCGGUGAAAUGCGUAGAUAUCGGAAGGAACACCAGUGGCGAAGGCGGCUUCCUGGUCCAACACUGACGCUGAGGCGCGAAAGCGUGGGGAGCGAAACAGGAUUAGAUACCCCCGUAGUCCCUGAGCGGGCUGGCAAGGCGCAU